AGAGUUUGAUUCUGGCUCAGAACGAACGCUGGCGGCGUGGAUAAGACAUGCAAGUCGAACGAGAGAAUUGCUAGCUUGCUAAUAAUUCUCUAGUGGCGCACGGGUGAGUAACACGUGAGUAACCUGCCCCCGAGAGCGGGAUAGCCCUGGGAAACUGGGAUUAAUACCGCAUAGUAUCGAAAGAUUAAAGCAGCAAUGCGCUUGGGGAUGGGCUCGCGGCCUAUUAGUUAGUUGGUGAGGUAACGGCUCACCAAGACGAUGAUGGGUAGCCGGCCUGAGAGGGUGAACGGCCACAAGGGGACUGAGACACGGCCCUUACUCCUACGGGAGGCAGCAGUGGGGAAUAUUGGACAAUGGACCAAAAGUCUGAUCCAGCAAUUCUGUGUGCACGAUGAAGUUUUUCGGAAUGUAAAGUGCUUUCAGUUGGGACGAAGUAAGUGACGGUACCAACAGAAGAAGCGACGGCUAAAUACGUGCCAGCAGCCGCGGUAAUACGUAUGUCGCAAGCGUUAUCCGGAUUUAUUGGGCGUAAAGCGCGUCUAGGCGGUUUGGUAAGUCUGAUGUGAAAAUGCGGGGCUCAACUCCGUAUUGCGUUGGAAACUGCCAAACUAGAGUACUGGAGAGGUGGGCGGAACUACAAGUGUAGAGGUGAAAUUCGUAGAUAUUUGUAGGAAUGCCGAUGGGGAAGCCAGCCCACUGGACAGAUACUGACGCUAAAGCGCGAAAGCGUGGGUAGCAAACAGGAUUAGAUACCCUGGUAGUCCACGCCGUAAACGAUGAUUACUAGGUGUUGGGGGUCGAACCUCAGCGCCCAAGCUAACGCGAUAAGUAAUCCGCCUGGGGAGUACGUACGCAAGUAUGAAACUCAAAGGAAUUGACGGGGACCCGCACAAGCGGUGGAGCAUGUGGUUUAAUUCGACGCAACGCGAGGAACCUUACCAGCGUUUGACAUCCCAAGAAGUUAACAGAGAUGUUUUCGUGCCUCUUCGGAGGAACUUGGUGACAGGUGGUGCAUGGCUGUCGUCAGCUCGUGUCGUGAGAUGUUGGGUUAAGUCCCGCAACGAGCGCAACCC
rnacentral:rRNA from 1 species